GGUGCUGCAUGGCUGUCGUCAGCUCGUGUUGUGAAAUGUUGGGUUAAGUCCCGCAACGAGCGCAACCCUUAUCCUUUGUUGCCAGCGAUUCGGCCGGGAACUCAAAGGAGACUGCCGGUGAUAAACCGGAGGAAGGUGGGGAUGACGUCAAGUCAUCAUGGCCCUUACGACCAGGGCUACACACGUGCUACAAUGGCGCAUACAAAGAGAAGCAACCUCGCGAGAGCAAGCGGACCUCAUAAAGUGCGUCGUAGUCCGGAUUGGAGUCUGCAACUCGACUCCGUGAAGUCGGAAUCGCUA
rnacentral:rRNA from 1 species